CGGUGACACUUGUAAGAAAAUACGAGAUCCGGCAUGUACAAACUGGCCUCAUCUGCAAGUCACCAGAAUCAAAAGACAAACAUCAAGAAGUGUUUAUUAAACCAUCUGUAAUUCUUGAAAACUGAAAAUGCCUCUGAGCAAAGCCAGUGGAGAUCCCAGUGAAGGGGAGCUAAGUGAGUGAGAUCAAAUCUUUAGAAUAAGAAAAGGAUUGGAGAGUCUCUCGAGACACAUAAGGAUCAUCACUGUGACUACUGGCAUG
rnacentral:lncRNA from 12 species